rnacentral:rRNA from 1 species
GUCCACGCCGUAACGAUGGAUACUAGCUGUUGGAGCAAUCUCAGUGGCUAAGCGAAGUGAUAAGUAUCCCACCUGGGAGUACGUUCGCAAGAAUGAAACUCAAAGGAAUUGACGGGCCCGCACAAGCGGUGGAGCAUGUGGUUUAAUUCGAUGAUACGCGAGGAACCUUACCAAGGCUUAAAUGUAGAUUGACCGUUUGGAAACAGAACUUUCGCAAGACAAUUUACAAGGUGCUGCAUGGUUGUCGU